rfam:Aquimarina sp. RZW4-3-2 contig1, whole genome shotgun sequence.
AAGGUGUAACCCGAAAAACCAACAAUAAAUAGAGUAGGGG